UGAGCCGGCCGGGUGGUCGCGGCACGGGCGGACGGGUCACCCCUUUCCGGACCGUGUCGAGGAAGGUCGGGGCUCCGCAGGGCAGGGUGCUGGCUAACGGCCAGUCGGGGUGACCCGCAGGACAGUGCCACAGAGAACAGACCGCCGAUGGCCGGAUCCCCGAUCCGGCACAGGUAAGGGUGAAACGGUGCGGUAAGAGCGCACCAGCGGCCGGGGCAACCCGGUCGGCUCGGUAAACCCCACCCGGAGCAAGGUCGAACAGGGGGCUCGGGCGGCCCGUCCGGCACACCACGGUGUGCCACCCCCAGGUGGACCGCGUAGAUGGAUGACCACCGCCCCUCGUCAGAGGGUGCACAGAACCCCGCCUACAGGCCGGCUCACCGU
rnacentral:RNase_P_RNA from 1 species